GGUGAGUUGGCCGAGUGGUUGAAGGCGCACGCUUGGAAAGCGUGUUUACGGGAGACCGUAACGAGGGUUCGAAUCCCUCACUCACCGCCA
rnacentral:tRNA from 1 species